rnacentral:piRNA from 1 species
UGGUGAUUUUGGGGUGUUGCCUCUC